rnacentral:rRNA from 1 species
CCUACGGGAGGCAGCAGUAGGGAAUCUUCCACAAUGGACGAAAGUCUGAUGGAGCAACGCCGCGUGAGUGAAGAAGGGUUUCGGCUCGUAAAGCUCUGUUGGUAGUGAAGAAAGAUAGAGGUAGUAACUGGCCUUUAUUUGACGGCAAUUACUUAGAAAGUCACGGCUAACUACGGGCCAGCAGCCGCGGUAAUAAGUAGGGGGCAAGCGGUGUCCGGAGUUGUUGGGGGUG